rnacentral:rRNA from 1 species
UACGAAGGGUGCAAGCGUUGUUCGGAUUUACUGGGCGUAAAGCGUCCGUAGGUGGUUUGUUAAGUCAGGGGUGAAAUCCCGGGGCCCAACCCCGGAACUGCCUUUGAUACUGGCAAGCUGGAGCGUGAUAGAGGAAGAUGGAAUAUCUGGUGUAGGGGUGAAAUCCGUAGAUAUCAGAUGGAACACCAGUGGCGAAGGCGACUUACUGGACUGUAACUGACGCUGAGGCAUGAGAGCAUGGGGAGCAAACAGG